GACGAACCGUGCAAACGUUGUCCGGAAUUAUUGGGCGUAAAGAGCUCGUAGGCGGUCUGUCGCGUCGGAUGUGAAAACCCAGGGCUCAACCCUGGGCCUGCAUUCGAUACGGGCAGACUAGAGUUCGGUAGGGGAGACUGGAAUUCCUGGUGUAGCGGUGAAAUGCGUAGAUAUCAGGAGGAACACCGGUGGCGAAGGCGGCUUUCUGGACAGUAACUGACGCUGAGGCGCGAAAGCGUGGGGAGCGAACAGG
rnacentral:rRNA from 1 species